UGGACAUAUUAUUGUAUUCGACUGUAUUCACGGCGUGAAACAGGGGAUUACACUGUUUUUAAACGGAAAGUGAAUCAAUUAACAUACUUAAUAAACUCCU
rnacentral:pre_miRNA from 1 species